UCUGGACGUGCCUUACGGACGUCACGUGGAUGCAGAGCCCUCUUUCACUGCUGCUGAGGUUCAUCCUUGCUGUGGGUGCAGCACAGCGCGUCCCAGAGGUGCUGCCCAGGAUGCAGGAUGCUCUGGGAUCCAAAGAUCCCCAUCCUGCGGUGCCCCAGAUCUGAAGUGUAAGGAGCAGGAAAACCUAAACAAAAGUGGUGCAAUGAGGAGUGCAAGAGGCACCGGCACGAUGUGUGAUUUUAAGGCACAUCCCUCUGGUUGGUGCUUUGCUGCCUUUCUUCUUGGAAAGAGCCCUCCCAGCACAGCCAGAUGGACCCAGUGAUGCAGCUGCCCCACCUGCCCCAUUCUGCCCCUCCUCAAUGCUGGGCUGUGGGCACCGUGCUGCUGCUAUGGGCCGGGUCAUUGGAAUCAACACAGGGGUUCUUCCCAUCCCUACGGCUGUAAUAUCUGGUGCAUCUCUGCAGAUGAAGGGAAAAGAAAGCAUCUCUCCCACUCUUGCUCCUCCGUAAGAGCUGAUGCAGUUAAUUGGAGCUUCUUGUGAGCGCACAUUAACAGAGGCAGAGCCAAGAAGAUGUCUUGGCAGCGAAAUAUCAUUAUCAGCUCUUGAGCUCCAGCCAAAAUCCCCUUGCGGUCAAAACACAAUUCUUUAAACUAAACAAUUAGAGAUUUGUGCAAGUGU